rnacentral:lncRNA from 1 species
CGGUGGACCUCAUUCUUCAUUGGUGAGUGGGGGUGCCAUCAUUGUACAUUAAAUGCACGCCCCACUUGCCAUGACCUUUGCCCUCUUGGUGAAUUGAAAGAGUGGGGUUUUGGUUCCUGGGAUUUCACACCCUGUUCUCUCCUGACCAGCUGGUCUGAUUGAGUGCUGCCCCACCUCUCUUCUCCCUCUUCUAAUUCGGUUGGGAUGUUGUCAGGUGAACUUUUUUCUAUUAUUGAUAGGGAAUUUUGUGUCUGAGAGGCUUCGCUUGCUUUGUUUUCUUUUUGUGUCCGCUUCUUGGAAUUUGGUUGGCAUGGCUUUGUAGGGAAGUAUAUAAGCUUCUUUUUUUUUUUUAAUCUAUUCUGUGUGGUGAAUUCUCACAUUUCCUUUUGUUUUCUUAAUUCUGAGUUUUUUUUUUUUUAUUCUCUGAUUUGAUUUUGUAUGGUAGACAGAUUUCACAACUGAUUGGAAUUCUUAUUUGGAGGUAAUGAUUAUAUUUAAGCUUUUAUGUUUUCUUUCUUCUCUGUUUCUUUAUCACAUUUAGUUUCAAUCAUGAUUUAGAAUUAGUUUCUUUAGAAAUUUCCUUCAAGAUGACAACUGGGUUUAGUUCUGUUGUUUCUUUCAGAUUUAAUUCAAUCUGGACAGAAAAACUUUUCCUCAGCGGGUUUGAUGCAAAUAUAAAUAAUUAUAAGCAUUAAAGCUGACUGGUUUAUUCUUCGCAUCUAAAUGUUUUUUUUGCAGGAUAUUGCCAAUUACAUGCAUGAUCACAAUGAUGCAGAGGCUACACCGUUCUAUGCAAAUUGCUUGCAUUUGUAUUUAUGGAAUGCGUGAUGCAUUCAUUCAAGGUUUGAACAACAUUAGUUUGUGUGUGACAAUUCACUUCUAAUCCUAUAUACUGGAGACUCGAAAAACAUUAUUUAAUGGGCAUAGCAUGUUAACCAUUUCCUUUCAUCCUUCCACAUUAUUAUGGUGGAAUUUAUAAUAGCAUAAAUAGUUGCAACUUCCAAUAGCCUCGCUAAACAUGUUGCCAUUGCUUUUGAUGGCUGCUGAGAGGUUGUCAGACAAUUUCUUAGGAAGAAGGUUCGGCUGCUGAAAGGUUGUUAUGAUCGAGGUUACUUCAUUGGGGUUGAGCCUUUUGGUUGCGAAUAUGAGGUGGCCUUCCAUUAAUGCAUUUGACAGGGCAUUUAGCAUUUUGUGUUUGUUUCUAUCAGUUUAGGCUAUUAUGAUGCCGCCAGUAUGAAGGCUUCAGGUUAUCUCACUUGCCUUUUGUUUUUGGUUUUACUCCUGUGCUUGCUGUCUUUUUACUUCUUUGUCCACUUAUUCCUCGUGCGAUCUGAAAAGGUGUCUGUUUGUUUUUCUGUUGUCUUUUUAAAUGGUCAAUUCUGGUCUACGUUGUCCAUCUUCGUAAGGGUUUCUUCCUACUCUUUUCCUUUAGCUCAGAUGUUUGUUCUUUUUUAAGAGAGGGAGGCUGUUGUGGUCCUCUGCUUUGUUUGGUAUCUGUCUUCUCUUCUUUUUUGCUGAUUCGAUUGGUUGUUUGAAGGAUUUAACUUUGUCUUGAGUUGCUUCUUUUUUUUUUCUUUUUUUUUCCAGCAGGGGUUGCUUUUGAAGGAGGUAAUUGGCUCUCUCUAUUGGUUCUUCGGUUGAAUAGAUUUUGGGAGAUUCUUACUGAUUAUCAUCCUUUCAGCUGAUUUCAGUAUGGCAUGUCAUGUGAUAAAUUCUUUUAGGUAAUUGAUGCAAACCAGAAACAACCUGGUUACCCCACUGGAGUGUGUUGAAGUAGCAUUAUAGCUAAGGAAAUUUGAUUGUAUCAUGUAAUUUGAACUGCCAUUGUAGUUUAAACUUAUUACCUCCACUUGGAACAAUCAAACUGUAAUAUAUUACCUUUCCACUGUUGUUUCUGGUUUGCAUCAGUUACUCAUAUUUCAUUGAACUAAGUGGGGUAAUUUGCAUCCCAGAUAUCUGUCAGUGCUAAUGGCAGUUCACAUUCUACAAUGGUAAAUUUCAUUGACUUGCAAUAUUGGUACAGGACUAUUCAUCAAAAAGGUCCAGGACUUGCUUGCUAGAGACUAGGUGGUUCAGGUUCAUCAUGCUUACAAGCUGCUGAUUGGCUAGCAAACUUGGGUUUUUUAAAAGGCCACUGGGAAAAGCUGCUACGGAUGCUCCCUCUUCUGGUUUAAUCCCUGUCUUAUUUUAUGAUAUUAUUGGGAGUAUAUCUUUAUUUAUUAAUUGCAUUUGCUUUAACUUUGUAUAUCAAACAUGCAGAGCAUGGAUUCAAAUUUAAUAGAUAGUAAAAGGCAGGGAGCGUGCUAUAUAUAUUGUAUAAAUCAAGAAUUAUGUGAUCUUCAUAUAUAUACACUUAACCGUGUCAGCCCAAUUAAGCUUGUAAUGCAGCUUCAAAUGAGGGAACUAGAAAGAAUGUUUGAUGAAGUAC